rnacentral:rRNA from 1 species
CCUACGGGGGGCAGCAGUAGGGAAUCUUCCACAAUGGGCGAAAGCCUGAUGGAGCAACGCCGCGUGGGUGAAGAAGUUCUUCGGAUCGUAAAACCCUGUUGUUAGAGAAGAAAGUGCGUGUGCGUAACUGUUAACGUUUCGACGGUAUCUAACCAGCAGCCGCCGUCUAACUACGUGCCAGCAGCCGCGGUAGUACGUAGGUGGCAAGCGUUAUCCGGAUUUAUUGGGCGUAAAGGGAGAGAAGGCGGUCAUUUAAGUCGUAGGUGAAAGCCUUCGGAUUAACCGGGGUAGUGCAUUGGAAACUGGGGGACUGGAGGGCAGGAGAGGAGAGUGGAACUCCAGGUGUAGCGGUGAAAUGCGUAGAUAUAAGGAAGAACACCAGUGGCGAAGGCGGCUCGCUGGUCUGUAACUGACGGUGAGGUGCGAAAGCGUGGGUAGCAAACAGGAUUAGAUACCCUAGUAGUC